rnacentral:sRNA from 2 species
ACCAAGAUUCCGAUUACCACAAAGUACUGGAAAUCCGGACUUGGGACCACAGGUGGCUUUGAGAAGUUUCGUUACGCCAUCGACGAAUUUCCAGGAUUUCUGGAGCAGACAUUGUCUUCGAGGAGUCGAAUGACAGAAUCCGUGUUUCCAGUUUUGUGGAUAGUAGCAUCGUCGAGGACGCUAUGAAUAGGAUUUCUAAUUUGCACUCUUGUCUAUCUCUUUCAAUUACGCCUCAAAUCUCACACAUCUUGAAUGUGUCCCCGG